UGGGCAAUUUUGCGCAAUGGACGAAAGUCUGACGCAGCAACGCCGCGUGGAGGAUGAAGCAUCUCGGUGUGUAAACUCCUUUUCUACAAGAAGAAAUUGACGGUAUUGUAGGAAUAAGCACCGGCUAACUCCGUGCCAGCAGCCGCGGUAAUACGGGGGGUGCAAGCGUUACUCGGAAUCACUGGGCGUAAAGGGAGCGUAGGCGUCUGGGUUAGUCUCUUGUGAAAUCCAUCGGCUUAACCGAUGAACUGCAGGGGAAACUACCUAGAUAGAGUAUGGAAGAGGUAAGUGGAAUAGGUGGUGUAGGGGUAAAAUCCGUAGAGAUCACCUGGAAUACCAACGGCGAAGGCAACUUACUGGGACAUUACUGACGCUGAGGCUCGAAAGCGUGGGGAGCAAACAG
rnacentral:rRNA from 1 species